AAUGUAUGCUGAAGUUCAUUUCCACUUCUGCCAUGUGAAAAUUGUCGUGUUUCUUCUGUGUCUAGAAAGAGACCAGAAUGAAUGCACUGGACCUGAUUUAAGGAUUUUUCUUGAUCACGACCCAUAGGAUUGCAUCUCUGUUUUAGGAACUUGGAGACCAAUAACAGAUGCUCUAGCUAAUUUCAACUUGUACCCGGGUGAAGUUUCUUAUGUUGCCUCCAUGUUACAAGAGAGACCAAGAAUGUAUGCAUGUGAGCUGGUUAAAUGUUAUUCCAUGGUGGCGAACUCUGUGAUUGCAUCUCUGUGAGAAGCACACAAACCAAUGUGAGUAAUGGUCAGAGUUCUUGUCUUGGUUUCAGUGAUUGUUUCUUUUCAGAGCAUUCAGUGUAGUUUCAAAAGUUUCACAUAGGAUCACAGAAGGCCAACUGUAGCUCAGUGAUAAACAUUAAAUUUUAUGAAACAUUGUAGUGAUUAAUGCAUAAAUGAAA